rnacentral:rRNA from 1 species
UUAAAUUGAAGAGUUUGAUCAUGGCUCAGAUUGAACGCUGGCGGCAGGCCUAACACAUGCAAGUCGAACGGUAGCACAGAGAGCUUGCUCUCGGGUGACGAGUGGCGGACGGGUGAG